CCUUCCCCUGCCGCGUGCCCCCGCUCUGUCUCCAACACCCUGGCUGGAUGCAAACGCAAGGGCUUGGAAGAAGAGGAACCAACCGCAGCACAGCUGCCCACCAAUAAGAGAGUGAAGGGGCAGAGCGGAGACAGCGUGCCGGCUCCAGCAGCACACCCUGGGCCUGCUGCAGCGCGGAGCUCCAAGCAAAGAGCAAGAAGACGGCGACAAAAAGAGAGGAGGGUGGAGCUGAAGAAGGCUGCCCUCAGAGCUGCCACUGCACGUGCAGAGGCCUCCGCAGUGAACAGCCUCGUGGAGAUGAUGCAGAAGCUGCAGCUGAAGGACUGAGAGGAGGAGCGUCAGCAGGCAGCGGCUGCAGUGCGCGGCAUUACAGGGCAGCGCUGAGUGCCGCCCAACUCGGCACUCCACCUUCACACGUAGUCAAU
ensembl:lncRNA